rnacentral:tRNA from 2 species
AGAUCUUAGUUAAAUAAAUAAUAAUAGUUUGUCAGACUAUAGUUACUUUCUUAGUAUGUCUUAA